UAAAAGAUAAGCUAAUAAAGCUAAUGGGUUCAUACCCCGUUUAUAAAAAUAAUAAUUUUUUUCUUUUAA
rnacentral:tRNA from 1 species